UACGUAGGGGGCUAGCGUUGUCCGGAAUCAUUGGGCGUAAAGAGCGUGUAGGCGGCCCGGUAAGUCCGCUGUAAAAGUCAAAGGCUCAACCUUUGAAUGUCAGUGGAUACUGCCGGGCUAGAGUCCGGAAGAGGCGAGUGGAACUCCUGGUGUAGCGGUGAAAUGCGCAGAUAUCGGGAGGAACACCAAUGGCGAAGGCAGCUCGCUGGGACGUUACUGACGCUGAGACGCGAAAGCGUGGGGAGCAAACAGG
rnacentral:rRNA from 1 species